rnacentral:rRNA from 1 species
CCUACGGGAGGCUGCAGUGAGGAAUAUUGGUCAAUGGACGGAAGUCUGAACCAGCCAUGCCGCGUGCAGGAAGACGGCUCUAUGAGUUGUAAACUGCUUUUGUACAAGGGUAAACCUGAAUACGUGUAUUCAGCUGAAAGUACUGUACGAAUAAGGAUCGGCUAACUCCGUGCCAGCAGCCGCGGUAAUACGGAGGAUCCAAGCGUUAUCCGGAUUUAUUGGGUUUAAAGGGUGCGUAGGCGGAUUGAUAAGUUAGAGGUGAAAUGUCCGAGCUUAACUCGGGAACUGCCUCUAAUACUGUUGAUCUAGAGAGUAGAUGCGGUAGGCGGAAUGUAUGGUGUAGCGGGGAAAUGCUUAGAGAUCAUACAGAACACCGAUUGCGAAGGCAGCUUACCAAUCUAUAUCUGACGUUGAGGCACGAAAGCGUGGGGAGCAAACAGGAUUAGAUACCCUAGUAGUC